rnacentral:rRNA from 2 species
UGAUUGAUGGUGCUUGCACCUGAUUGAUUUUGGUCGCCAACGAGUGGCGGACGGGUGAGUAACACGUAGGUAACCUGCCCAGAAGCGGGGGACAACAUUUGGAAACAGAUGCUAAUACCGCAUAACAGCGUUGUUCGCAUGAACAACGCUUAAAAGAUGGCUUCUCGCUAUCACUUCUGGAUGGACCUGCGGUGCAUUAGCUUGUUGGUGGGGUAACGGCCUACCAAGGCGAUGAUGCAUAGCCGAGUUGAGAGACUGAUCGGCCACAAUGGGACUGAGACACGGCCCAUACUCCUACGGGAGGCAGCAGUAGGGAAUCUUCCACAAUGGGCGCAAGCCUGAUGGAGCAACACCGCGUGAGUGAAGAAGGGUUUCGGCUCGUAAAGCUCUGUUGUUAAAGAAGAACACGUAUGAGAGUAACUGUUCAUACGUUGACGGUAUUUAACCAGAAAGUCACGGCUAACUACGUGCCAGCAGCCGCGGUAAUACGUAGGUGGCAAGCGUUAUCCGGAUUUAUUGGGCGUAAAGAGAGUGCAGGCGGUUUUCUAAGUCUGAUGUGAAAGCCUUCGGCUUAACCGGAGAAGUGCAUCGGAAACUGGAUAACUUGAGUGCAGAAGAGGGUAGUGGAACUCCAUGUGUAGCGGUGGAAUGCGUAGAUAUAUGGAAGAACACCAGUGGCGAAGGCGGCUACCUGGUCUGCAACUGACGCUGAGACUCGAAAGCAUGGGUAGCGAACAGGAUUAGAUACCCUGGUAGUCCAUGCCGUAAACGAUGAGUGCUAGGUGUUGGAGGGUUUCCGCCCUUCAGUGCCGGAGCUAACGCAUUAAGCACUCCGCCUGGGGAGUACGACCGCAAGGUUGAAACUCAAAGGAAUUGACGGGGGCCCGCACAAGCGGUGGAGCAUGUGGUUUAAUUCGAAGCUACGCGAAGAACCUUACCAGGUCUUGACAUCUUGCGCCAACCCUAGAGAUAGGGCGUUUCCUUCGGGAACGCAAUGACAGGUGGUGCAUGGUCGUCGUCAGCUCGUGUCGUGAGAUGUUGGGUUAAGUCCCGCAACGAGCGCAACCCUUGUUACUAGUUGCCAGCAUUAAGUUGGGCACUCUAGUGAGACUGCCGGUGACAAACCGGAGGAAGGUGGGGACGACGUCAGAUCAUCAUGCCCCUUAUGACCUGGGCUACACACGUGCUACAAUGGACGGUACAACGAGUCGCGAACUCGCGAGGGCAAGCAAAUCUCUUAAAACCGUUCUCAGUUCGGACUGCAGGCUGCAACUCGCCUGCACGAAGUCGGAAUCGCUAGUAAUCGCGGAUCAGCAUGCCGCGGUGAAUACGUUCCCGGGCCUUGUACACACCGCCCGUCACACCAUGAGAGUUUGUAACACCCAAAGUCGGUGGGGUAACC